ACUUGUUCAUUUUAUCAUUGGCCAUGUCUGUUACUGUCACAGAAACUUAACUGAACUUGUAUAGUUUUUCAUCAAGUUUUGAAAUUUUAGUCAUCAGGAAAUUAACCAACUACAUACAGUGUUUUCAAUGAUUCACAUAAAAGGUGAAUGAAGUCUAAGUUUUUGCUAUCCAAGACUUAUACCAAAUAAAUAAUUUUUUCCCUAUGUUCUCUCAAACUCCAUG
rnacentral:misc_RNA from 1 species